AUGCAGGCAGAGGACCUAGAAUUUAAAUACAGUGUCCAGGUGGACACCGAGGGCAGAAUUAAGACACUGAUGUGGGCGACUGGUAGAGGCAUUGAGCAGUUCAAGUGUUUCGGUGAUGUUGUGACGUUUGAUACGACCUAUAAGACAAACCUGUACGACAUGCCAUUUGACCUAUUUGUUAGUGUUAACAAUCAUUUCCAGAGUGUCAUUUUUGGAGGUGUACUGAUGAGUGAUGAGAAGGUGGAGACUUUCAAGUGGAUAUUCACAGAGUUCUUCCAAAUGCUAGCAGCACCACAGCCUAAAACUAUCUUAACAUACCAAGCUCGUUCGAUGGAAAUUGCAAUAGCUGACAUGAUACCGCGGACUGUACAUCGUUGGUGCAAAUGGCACGUACUGAAGAAAGCAAAGGAGAGCCUUGGAGCACUGCUUGCAAAAGGGAGUGAAUUCAAGCCAGAGUUCAGCAAACUAGUCCACCACGCAGUUAGUAUUGAUGAGUUCGAGAAUGGGUGGGCUUGCAUGUUGGAGAAAUAUGGGCUGCAAAAAAAAUGCAUUCCUGACCCAGCUGUAUGA
rnacentral:rRNA from 1 species